rnacentral:rRNA from 1 species
GAGAUAGAGCCUUCCCCUUCGGGGGACAAAGUGACAGGUGGUGCAUGGUUGUCGUCAGCUCGUGUCGUGAGAUGUUGGGUUAAGUCCCGCAACGAGCGCAACCCUUAAGCUUAGUUGCCAUCAUUAAGUUGGGCACUCUAGGUUGACUGCCGGUGACAAACCGGAGGAAGGUGGGGAUGACGUCAAAUCAUCAUGCCCCUUAUGAUUUGGGCUACACACGUGCUACAAUGGACAAUACAAAGGGCAGCUAAACCGCGAGGUCAUGCAAAUCCCAUAAAGUUGUUCUCAGUUCGGAUUGUAGUCUGCAACUCGACUACAUGAAGCUGGAAUCGCUAGUAAUCGUAGAUCAGCAUGCUACGGUGAAUACGUUCCCGGGUCUUGUACACACCG